rnacentral:piRNA from 1 species
UGUGGCUUUGGAGUCUGUCCUGU